rnacentral:rRNA from 1 species
UACGUAGGGGCGAGCGUGUCGGAUUAUUGGCGUAAGAGCGUGUAGGCUGUUCGGUAAGUCUGCCGUGAAACCUAGAGGCUCAACCUCGGGCGUGCGGUGGAUACUGUCGGGCUAGAGUCCGGAAGGGGCGAGUGGAAUUCCUGGUGUAGCGGUGAAAUGCGCAGAUAUCAGGAGGAACACCUACGGCGAAGGCAGCUCGCUGGGACGGUACUGACGCUGAGACGCGAAAGCGUGGGGAGCAAACA